CAAUAGCGUAUAUUUAAGUUGCUGCAGUUAAAAAGCUCGUAGUUGGAUUUCGGGUGGGAAUGGCCGGUCCGCCGUUUCGGUGUGCACUUGCUACGCCCACCUUGCUGCCGGGGACGUGCUCUUGAGUUCACGCUCGGGACACGGAGUCGGCGAGGUUACUUUGAGUAAAUUAGAGUGUUCAAAGCAGGCCUACGCUCUGAGUACAUUAGCAUGGAAUAACACGAUAGGACUCUGGCCUAUCUUGUUGGUCUGUAGGACCGGAGUAAUGAUUAAGAGGGACAGUCGGGGGCAUUCGUAUUUCAUUGUCAGAGGUGAAAUUCUUAGAUUUAUGAAAGACGAACUACUGCGAAAGCAUUUGCCAAGGACGUUUUCAUUAA
rnacentral:rRNA from 1 species